CACCAUACCAAGUUGAAGCUGCCAGCAUGAUCUUAACUGGCCUCCUUUGUAGGUUAAAGAUCAGAUCAUGGUGGCAGUUUCACCUAGUUGUUGG
rnacentral:pre_miRNA from 1 species